rnacentral:lncRNA from 1 species
CCCCCAGCAACCCACCUGCUCCAACCAGGCUUCAUCCAGCAUCACAUCUAUCUAUAAACUCAUAAGUGAACUCCACUGAUGAGUAUCACGCCCCAUGAUUCAAUCACCUUUCCAGAGGUGCACCUGUGAGUGUAUGAGGCUUUGAGGGGACAUCUAGAUAUAAAACAUAAUAGGGAAUUCCAAAAUAUCUGGUACCUGUGCUAUGCCCUAAAAUGUGGCCUUCCUGAUUCUUCAUCUUGUGGGGAGAAGUGUCGGAAUGGGAUCCUCUGCAGUGCAGUGGCCCCCACUUACCCAGCUCUAAGGGCAGUAGUGAUGGGCCAGCAGCUUCUAUGUACCUUCAUUCAUGCUUGUCUGUCUAGGCCUUGCUACUUCUACCCACCUCCUUUCUUCUGCCCAUCUUUCAUCAUUUCUGCAUUUUCUCAGGGCUGAGAGUAAUGGGAUUCAUCCUUCAUCUUCAUUCAUCUGUGGCAGAGACUUAACCUUCAUCUGUGACUUAACCUUUCUUUAUUACCUGAAUUCUCUUACUACUGACUUUCAUGUUAAUUGGAGCCUAAUUAGAAAACCCUCUCUCAGGUAAUGAAGUUGAACUUGUAUGUUUUUAUUUCACUGCAAAUUCAAAUGCUGCAUAUUUUCUCCCUUCAUCCUUGCUGUAAUAUUCUAAAACUCUCAAGGUAAUUGAGUGCCUCUGGUGGAAUAGGAAGUGCAAAGGUAAAAAACAUAUUAACAAUUUUUCAAACUUAGUAUACCUACCAAAUUACUUUAAUAGAAGUAGGGUAGCUAAAAUGAAGGAGAUGAUGACACUAUUAUCCUCUGUACUUUUAGGAUACCACAAUAAGUGCUACACAUUUUAAAAGGUCAGAGGUAGGAAGAUCACGCUUUCCAGGGGACAAAGAGAAAUGGACUAUUUUUUGAUACUCAAAUACAUGAGAGGCUGUUCUUUCGGAAGAGGAGUAGAUUCAGCAGCAUCUCUAGGAUUUCUGUUCAGGCAGAGCUUAGAUAUGAUCAUCAGUAAGAAAACGAAGCCUAAAGGACUUGGCUGUGAAGAUUGCAAGCUUUUAUAUUCAGUGUACUACUUCCUUGGAUUUUGUAUAAGACUGCCUCAUAUUUCUGUUACCUGGCUAGCCCCUGAAGGCAUGUAAGUUUUUAUAACAGUUAAUACAGUCUUGAAUUGUUUUUUUUUCUCUAAACAUCUAUUUAUACAAUAAAAGGUAUGUUUCAUUAGAAUGGCCCAAGAAGCCUAUAAAACAUGUAGAUUCCAAGGCCUCACUUCUAAAGCUGUUAUUUUCAUUCAGAAGGCUAUGAUGGAGACAGGCUCUUUUUCUUUGUAAGCUCUAUGGGCCCACUGUGCUGAGAAACCAGGUUUAGAACUUACUGUAUUAAAUAAUUCAUGAGGUUCCUUCUGGCAUGGAAAGUACAUGGUCUUACAGCAACUUCAAUAAAUGUUCUCUGUCUCUUAAGCAAUGGUUUGGACGGUGUCUUUAGGAGGCAGUGAUGUUUCUACCAAAUACUCUUUUCCUGGGAGGUUGAUCAGUUGUAGGAAGACUGAAGCCUAUAAAAGAAAAAAUAAAGCUAUCACUCUUGACUUUCUACCUCAGGCAUAGCCACUCUAAGUUGUAUCCAACACCAUGUUUUUGCCAGAAACAAUUACAAGAUGGGGUUGGUUUAAUGUUCAUUAUUAUGUUGAAAACAUAUUUUAUCCCUAUGUUCCUCAUAGAUGAAAGCUACAAUGUAAGGAUUUCUAAAUAAUGCCCAUUCGAUGUAGGAAGACAAAUGAGUUUCAGGAAGCACUGCUUUUAAGUCUU